CCAGCCUAUUGACUAUAUAUAGCAUAGUGCAAAAGAAAGGAGAAAACCACUAUGAAUAUGGGGAAGCAAUUAAGGUUUUUGGAAGUUUUGAAGAUAUCACGGUUGAAUCAAUUAAGCCGUUCAUAGUGAAUACCUUAGUAAAUGCUUUGGAUGCUAAAGUAAAAAAAAAAACAAUUGAUGUUAUCCUUACUGGGAUGACGGGAUAAAUCACUUGAUAUUGUAUUAAGUGCAGCAUCAGAAAUUUGACAAGCUAUUCAAAUCAAGGAAAAUGCAAAAGCUGAGCACAUAAUGCUACAAGCUGAACAAAUUCCUGUUAGAUAUUAUGCACAUCAAAUGUUUCAAUUGUGAUGGAUAUGGUCAUAUAGCAACAGAUUGCAAGGAGGUAAAGGGGACAAGAAAGCAAUUAGAAGAAAAAGACAGACUAGAUGUAGAGGAAGAUUGGGGUCUGAAUAUGUAUUGUUAGUGUACCAGUGACCCAAGGUCCAGAACCUAUGGUACAUUUGAAAGUAAAUGAAUUGUAUGUGAUACUGAGGGAAGAAGAAGUAAGUGAUUUUGGUGGGGAGAAUGUAUAUUUAGUGGAAGACCAGCAUUGCCAUCAUUGUUUAAUUCUGAAUGGUCAAGGCUGGGCCUAGAAUCUGUAUUGGCACUGGUGUGUUCUUCAUGUGUUAUUUGUUUACAAUACAAUGCAGGUCAGAGACCUAAAUCAUCCUCCCUGUUCAUGAGGUCCAUUUGUAAAUUUACAAAUAGAUUUCAUUGAAUUACCAAAGGUAAUGCAGUACCGGUAUGUGCUAGUAAUAUUAGAUACAUUCUCAGGUUUGGUUGAGGCUUAUCCUUGUUGCCAUGCGGAUAUUGUCUACAGUGUCUAAGAAAUUGUUACAAGAAUUUAUACCCAGGUAUGGAUUGCCUCUGCACAUUUACUCAGAUCAGGGAACACAUUUCACAGGAAAAGUAGUGCAACAGAUAGCAAAAAUUUAGCAAAUCCCUUACCAUUUACAUUGCUCUCAUCAUCCUCAGUCAGAAGGAGCAGUAGAAAGGGCCAAUGGAACAUUGAAAAAUAAAAUUGCAAAAAUUGUAGCAGAGACAAAGUUAAAGUGGC